rnacentral:sRNA from 1 species
UGAUGCCAGAGUCUCAAAGUCGCAAGCUGAUCAUGUUUGCAUGAGGAAGUUUGUGACCUUGAGACCCGAAUGUUUUUAGAAUUGCGAGAGAUGCGAAGUAUCAAAGCAUUCGUAGGCAUCA